CGGUGGGGCCCUGGACGCCAGCAGCUCCGGCAGAACGAGCUCUGCGUGCUGAGGACACAGGCUGCUGCUGCAGGAGGCUGGGGAGCUUGCAAACUCUGGGGCGUGGCCAGCAGCCUGCCAGACGUGGGGAGGUGUGUGCGACAGAUCCCCAGGUGUUUCGAAAUCACAGGUAAAGCUGCGGUGAGCGUCCCAGGACAUCACGUCACUUUGCACGUAUGCAAAAGUGCACCUGAAAGCUUUUGUUUCAGAAACUACAGAUAAGUCCUGACUCCUGGGAAAAACAGCCGACCUC